GACGAACCGAGCGAACGUUGUUCGGAAUCACUGGGCUUAAAGGGCGCGUAGGCGGGCUGUCAAGUCUGGGGUGAAAUCCCGCGGCUCAACCGUGGAACUGCCUCAGAUACUGACGGUCUCGAGGGGGUAGGGGCGAGCGGAACUGUGAGUGGAGCGGUGAAAUGCGUUGAUAUUCACAGGAACUCCGGUGGCGAAGGCGGCUCGCUGGACCUCUUCUGACGCUGAGGCGCGAAAGCCAGGGGAGCAAACGGG
rnacentral:rRNA from 1 species